ensembl:misc_RNA Metazoa_SRP Metazoan signal recognition particle RNA
GCCAGGCGCGGUGUGUGUCUAUGGUCCCAGCUACUGGGGAGGCUGAGGCUGGAGGAUCGCUUGAGUCCAGGAGUUCUGGGCUGUAGUGUGCUAUGCUGAUCGGGUAUCCGCACUAGGUUUGGCAUCAAUAUGGUGACCUCCUGGGAGCGGGGGACCACCAGGUUGCCUAAAGAGGGGUGACCUGGCCCAGGUCAGAAAUGGAGCAGGUCAAAAAUCCCGUGCUGAUCAGUAGUGGGAUCCCCUGUGAAUGGCUACUGCCCUCCAGCCUGGGCAACACAGCGAGACCUCAACUCUA